AGUACGGCGAGUGAGCGGGAAGAGCUCAAAUUUGUAAGCUGGCACCUUCGGUGUCCGCGUUGUAAUCUCGAGAAGUGUUUUCCGUGCUGGACCAUGUACAAGUUCCUUGGAAUAGGACGUCAUAGAGGGUGAAAAUCCCGUACUUGACAUGGAUGCCCAGUGCAUUGUGAUACACUCUCCACGAGUCGAGUUGUUUGGGAAUGCAGCUCAAAAUGGGUGGUAAAUUCCAUCUAAAGCUAAAUAUUGGGGAGAGACCGAUAGCGAACAAGUACCGUGAGGGAAAGAUGAAAAGCACUUUGGAAAGAGAGUUAAAUAGUACGUGAAAUUGUCGAAAGGGAAGCGCUUGAAGUUAGAUAUGCUUGCUGGGAUUCAGCCUUGCUUUUGCUUGGUGUAUUUCCCGGUACGCAGGCCAGCAUCAGUUUUGUUUGCCGGAUAAGGGUAGAAGGAAUGUGGCCCCACUCGUGGGGUGUUAAGCCUUCUACUGGAUACGGCGGACGGGACUGAGGAUCGCAGUGCGCCCUCGUGGCGGGCCUUUUGGC
rnacentral:rRNA from 1 species